UACGUAGGGUGCAAGCGUUGUCCGGAAUUAUUGGGCGUAAAGAGCUCGUAGGCGGUUUGUCGCGUCUGCUGUGAAAACGCGGGGCUCAACUCCGCGCCUGCAGUGGGUACGGGCAGACUAGAGUGCAGUAGGGGAGACUGGAAUUCCUGGUGUAGCGGUGGAAUGCGCAGAUAUCAGGAGGAACACCGGUGGCGAAGGCGGGUCUCUGGGCUGUAACUGACGUGGAGGAGCGAAAGCGUGGGUAGCGAACAGG
rnacentral:rRNA from 1 species